CCUUCGGGGUGAGUAGAGCGGCGGACGGGUGAGUAACGCGUAGGAAUCUACCCAGUAGUGGGGGACAACUAGUGGAAACGCUAGCUAAUACCGCAUACGCCCUACGGGGGAAAGCGGGGGACCUUCGGGCCUCGUGCUAUUGGAUGAGCCUGCGUAAGAUUAGCUUGUUGGUGAGGUAAUGGCUCACCAAGGCGACGAUCUUUAGCUGGUCUGAGAGGAUGAUCAGCCACACCGGGACUGAGACACGGCCCGGACUCCUACGGGAGGCAGCAGUCGGGAAUAUUGCGCAAUGGGGGAAACCCUGACGCAGCCAUGCCGCGUGUGUGAAGAAGGCCCUAGGGUUGUAAAGCACUUUCAAUUGGGAGGAAAAGCUAAUGGUUAAUAACCAUUAGCCCUGACGUUACCUUUAGAAGAAGCACCGGCUAACUCCGUGCCAGCAGCCGCGGUAAUACGGAGGGUGCAAGCGUUAAUCGGAAUUACUGGGCGUAAAGCGCGCGUAGGCGGUUUUUUAAGUCGGAUGUGAAAGCCCCGGGCUCAACCUGGGAACUGCAUCCGAUACUGGAUCACUAGAAUGCGGGAGAGGGAGGUAGAAUUCCAUGUGUAGCAGUGAAAUGCGUAGAUAUAUGGAGGAAUACCAGUGGCGAAGGCGGCCUCCUGGCUCGACAUUGACGCUGAGGUGCGAAAGCGUGGGGAGCAAACGGGAUUAGAUACCCCGGUAGUCCACGCCGUAAACGAUGUCUACUAGCUGUAGGGGUACUUGAGACCUUUGUAGCGCAGCUAACGCAAUAAGUAGACCGCCUGGGGAGUACGGCCGCAAGGUUAAAACUCAAUGAAUUGACGGGGGCCCGCACAAGCAGUGGAGCAUGUGGUUUAAUUCGA
rnacentral:rRNA from 1 species